rnacentral:misc_RNA from 1 species
GAUGAAGAACGCAGCGAAAUGCGAUACGUAAUGUGAAUUGCAGAAUUCAGUGAAUCAUCGAGUCUUUGAACGCACAUUGCGCCCCCUGGUAUUCCGGGGGGCAUGCCUGUCCGAGCGUCAUUGCUGCCCUCAAGCACGGCUUGUGUGUUGGGCCUCCGUCCUCCUCCCGGGGGACGGGCCCGAAAGGCAGCGGCGGCACCGCGUCCGGUUCUCGAGCGUAUGGGGCUUCGUCACCCGCUCUCGUAGGCCCGGCCGGCGCUUGCCGACACAUCAAUCUUUUUUCCAGGUUGACCUCGGAUCAGGUAGGGAUACCCGCUGAACUUAAGCAUAUCAAUAAGCGGAGGA